AAUGUACUCCCUCCGUCGCAAAAUUCUUGUCUUAGGUUUAUCUGAAAAUGGAUGUAUCAAAAUACUAAAACGUGACUACAUACAUUUAUAUCUACACAAAUGAAAGACAAGAAUUUUAGGAAGGAGGGAGUAUGUU
rfam:Hordeum vulgare subsp. vulgare, WGS project CAJW01000000 data, contig: morex_contig_40035